UACGGAGGGUGCGAGCGGUGUUCGGAAUCAUUGGGCGUAAAGCGCGUGUAGGCGGCUUGGCAAGUCGGGUGUGAAAUCCCGGGGCCCAACCCCGGAACUGCAUUCGAAACUGCCUCGCUAGAGUCCCGGAGAGGAAGGCGGAAUUCCCGGUGUAGAGGUGAAAUUCGUAGAUAUCGGGAGGAACACCAGCGGCGAAGGCGGCCUUCUGGACGGUGACUGACGCUGAGACGCGAAAGCGUGGGGAGCAAACAGG
rnacentral:rRNA from 1 species